UUUGCAGCACUCCUGAGUGACAUUGAGAUCUGUUGGGGCUGGUUGGUUUGUUUGUUCCUUUAAGAAAGAGGCAGGGGCGGGAGGAAAGGAAGCCUAACGCGUCCCUUCCCGGGAAGUUACUGGCGACUGAUCCCGUGGGCUGAGGAAACACCAAGUCUACACCGUGAAGCUGCAGCGGAGAAAGGCUGGGAGGUGCCCCUGAGGGCAGGAUGCUGGCAUAAGCUGGGCCUCCACACGUGGCUGCUCUGGGGUGUCAUUUUUAAUUUCCUGGGAGCGACAUUUCUUUUGAGCGAAGGGACUGCAAACAAAUCCUUCAAUGGUGAUGCACAGUAAUACAUCGAGUGUUGUACAAAAUCAUGUUUCUAUCUAUAUUAGGAUGCUAACGGUGUUACUUCUCAAAUGGAUAAUUCGAGUCAGGCAGAAGUGGCUUCCAAGACUACAUCGGACCUUUGAACUAGCUAUGUGAUCUUGGGCAAGUUCCCUAACCUCUCUAGUUACUUGGG